UACGUAGGGGGCUAGCGUUGUCCGGAUUUAUUGGGCGUAAAGAGCGUGUAGGCAGCCAGGUAGGUCUGCUGUGAAAACUCGAGGCUCAACCUCGAGACGUCGGCGGAAACCAUCUGGCUAGAGUCCGGAAGAGGAGAGUGGAAUUCCUGGUGUAGCGGUGGAAUGCGCAGAUAUCAGGAGGAACACCGGUGGCGAAGGCGGUUCUCUGGGCAUUACCUGACGCUGAGGAGCGAAAGCGUGGGGAGCGAACAGG
rnacentral:rRNA from 1 species